GCAAUCACUUUGGCAGCACAUACACUAAAAUUGGAACCGUACAGAGAUCAGUAUGCCUGGCCUCUGUGCAGAGGUAACAAGCAAAUUCACGAAGCACUCCGUAUUUUU
ensembl:snRNA U6 U6 spliceosomal RNA